rnacentral:lncRNA from 1 species
GGAUUAAAUAGGUCAGAAUCAGAUUAAAUAGGUUUUAAGCAGGUUAAACGGAUCUUAAAUAGGUUAAACAGAUUAAACAAAUCAGAUUAAAUGGGUCAGAAAUAGGUUAAACAAGUUAAAUGGAUUAUCUGACUCAACCCGAUCUGAAUAUUAAACGGAUUCAACGGAUCAAAUAUCUAAAAUUUAAAUCUGAUCUAAUUAUUAAACGGAUUAAACGGAUCGAUCCGUUUAUGACUCAACUUCAUUUAGCCUAAACUCAAAUCUAUUUAUGGUGGA